CACUGCCCACAGCUCAAGGCCAUAUGUUUAAAAUUUGCAGCAACAAACUUGGGAGGUGCGUGUAGUCCGUAGAUCUGAGCGGUGCAAUGUUUCAGUGGUCAUGCAGUCAGUAGGUUUCAGACACUUGGAACAGAGUUGCCCCUCGCUGUUGUCAGAGCUACUGGAAACAGUUGCUUCGGUGGAUGAGAAAUCAAAUCUUGUAUCAGGUAAGAGGAGAAGUGGCAGCAGUAUUUUUGGGCUUGAUUUGGCAGCAGAUGGUGGUGUAGCAGAACCCGGUAAUCCCAACGGCCGGCGGCUGCGUAGGCGGAUCGUCUAGUAUUGGGCUUGACGUGUACAAUUGCUAUGAAUGUGAAUCCCCCCUUUAUGAAGCAUAUGUUCAUAUUAGUAUUUAUUAGUUGAGAAACUCAAAAUACUCUUAAUGCUUUUGCAUAACAAUGAUACUAUGUUCCCAAUGCUAGAAUGAUUGUCCAGUCCUGUCUGCCUCUUUUUGGUAUGAUUCUCCUCUCUUUUAUAUUGGUCGGCGAUCUGUUUGUACAUAAUACUUUAUCAAUUAAUGUGAUCUUCAAUGAUAA